GGUGUGGGUAAGGACGGUGCCAGCCGCCGCGGUAAUACCGGCGCCUCAAGUGGUAGUCGAUUCUAUUGGGCCUAAAACGUCUCUUGCUUGUCUGGUACAUUUGUGGGUAAAUCAAUCAGCUCAAUUGAUUGAAUUCUCUGAGCACGGCCAGACUUGGGACCGGGAGAGUUCUGGGGUACGUUCAGGGUAGGGGUAAAAUCCUUGUCAUCCUAAACGGACCACCUGUUGCGAAGGCUCCACACUAGAACGGAUCCGACGGUCAGGGAUGAAGCCUAGUGGGCACGAACCGGAUUAGAUACCCGGGUAGUCCUAGGUGUAAACGCUGUGGACUUGGUGUUGGGGACUCUCCGAGAUUCCUCAGUGCCGAAGCGAAGUGUGAUAAGUCCACUGCCUGGGGAGUACGGUCGCAAGGCUGAAACUUAAAGGAAUUGGCGGGGGAGCACCGCAACCUGAGGAUUGU
rnacentral:rRNA from 1 species